GGCUCUUUGAUAUACACCUAUAAAGAGUCCGGCCUGCCCAGUGAGAUUUCAACGGCCGCAGUAUCUUAACUGUGCUAAGGUAGCAUAAUAAUUUGUCCUAUAAUUGAGGACUGGAAUGAAUGGUCUCACAAGAGCAAAGCUGUCUCUUUUUGAUUAGAUAGAAUUUAACUUUCAGAUGAAGAGGUCUGAAUAUAAUUAAAAGACAAGAAGACCCUAUCGAGCUUUAAAAAAAUUAGUAAAAUCUAUUUUAUACUACGUAAAAAUAAAUUAUUAAACAUUUUGGUUGGGGCGACUAAGGAACAAAAAAAGCUUCUUUAAUUUACUAAAACUUACUAGUUUUGAUCCAUAAGUUAUGAUUAAUGAAAUUAGUUACCGUAGGGAUAACAGCAUUAUCUUUUUUGAGAGCUCUAAUCGAAAAAAAGGUUUGUGACCUCGAUGUUGGACCAGAAUAUCCUAAAGGUGCAGAAGUCUUUAAGGGUUGGUCUGUUCGACCAUUAAAAUUCU
rnacentral:rRNA from 1 species